rnacentral:rRNA from 1 species
CCUACGGGUGGCAGCAGUGGGGGAUAUUGCACAAUGGGGGGAACCCUGAUGCAGCGACGCCGCGUGAGCGAUGGAGUACCUCGGUAUGUAAAGCUCUGUCAGUAGGGAAGAAAAUGACGGUACCUGACCAAGAAUCUCCGGAUAAAUUCGUGCCAGCAGCCGCGGUAAUACGGAGGGGGCAAGCGUUAUCCGGAUUUACUGGGUGUAAAGGGGGCGUAGGCGGCAGGGCAAGCCUGAUGUGAAAGCCCGGGGCUCAACCCCGGGACUGCAAUUGGAACUGGCCGGCUGGAGUGCCGGAGGGGCAGGCGGAAUUCCUAGUGUAGCGGUGAAAUGCGUAGAUAUUAGGAGGAACACCAGUGGCGAAGGCGGCCUGCUGGACGGUGACUGACGCUGAGGCUCGAAAGCGUGGGGAGCAAACAGGAUUAGAUACCCGGGUAGUC